rnacentral:rRNA from 1 species
UACGAAGGGGACUAGCGUUGUUCGGAUUUACUGGGCGUAAAGCGCGCGUAGGCGGAUUGCUAAGUCAGGGGUGAAAUCCUGGAGCUCAACUCCAGAACUGCCUUUGAUACUGGCGAUCUUGAGUCCGGGAGAGGUGAGUGGAGCUGCGAGUGUAGAGGUGAAAUUCGUAGAUAUUCGCAAGAACACCAGUGGCGAAGGCGGCUCACUGGCCCGGUACUGACGCUGAGGUGCGAAAGCGUGGGGAGCAAACAGG